rnacentral:rRNA from 1 species
CAGCCGCGUAAUUCCAGCUCCAAUAGCGUAUAUUAAAGUUGUUGCAGUUAAAAAGCUCGUAGUUGAAUUUCGGGGUCAAUAAGUUGGUCAUGCCAAUGGUAUGCACUGGCUUUAUUGAUUCCUACCUCUUGACGAACUGUGAUGCCAUUAAUUUGGUGUUGCAAGGAAUCAGGACUGUUACCUUGAAAAAAUUAGAGUGUUUAAAGCAAGCUUAUGCUUGAAUACAUUAGCAUGGAAUAAUGAAAUAGGACGUUUGAUCCUAUUUUGUUGGUUUCUAGGAUCGACGUAAUGAUUAAUAGGGAUAGUUGGGGGCAUUAGUAUUCAAUUGUCAGAGGUGAAAUUCUUGGAUUGAUUGAAGACUAACUACUGCGAAAGCAUUUGCCAAGGAUGUUUUCAUUAAUCAAGAACGAAAGUUAGGGGAUCGAAGACGAUCAGAUACCGUCGUAGUCUUAACCAUAAACUAUGCCGACUAGGGAUCGGAUGAUGUUAAUUUUUUAAUGACUCAUUCGGCGCCUUACG